rnacentral:rRNA from 1 species
AUUGAACGCUGGCGGCAUGCCUUACACAUGCAAGUCGAACGGCAGCACGGGAGCAAUCCUGGUGGCGAGUGGCGAACGGGUGAGUAAUAUAUCGGAACGUGCCCAGUCGUGGGGGAUAACGCAGCGAAAGCUGUGCUAAUACCGCAUACGAUCUACGGAUGAAAGCGGGGGAUCGCAAGACCUCGCGCGAUUGGAGCGGCCGAUAUCAGGUUAGCUAGUUGGUGAGGUAAAGGCUCACCAAGGCGACGAUCUGUAGCUGGUCUGAGAGGACGACCAGCCACACUGGAACUGAGACACGGUCCAGACUCCUACGGGAGGAAGCAGUGGGGAAUUUUGGACAAUGGGCGAAAGCCUGAUCCAGCAAUGCCGCGUGCAGGAUGAAGGCCUUCGGGUUGUAAACUGCUUUUGUACGGAACGAAACGGUGAGCUCUAAUACAGUUUGCUAAUGACGGUACCGUAAGAAUAAGCACCGGCUAACUACGUGCCAGCCGCCGCGGUAA